rnacentral:rRNA from 1 species
UACGAAGGGGGCUAGCGUUGCUCGGAAUCACUGGGCGUAAAGCGCACGUAGGCGGCUUGCUAGGUCAGGGGUGAAAUCCUGGAGCUCAACUCCAGAACUGCCUUUGAUACUGGCGACCUUGAGUCCGGGAGAGGUGAGUGGAACUGCGAGUGUAGAGGUGAAAUUCGUAGAUAUUCGCAAGAGCACCAGUGGCGAAGGCGGCUCACUGGCCCGGUACUGACGCUGAGGUGCGAAAGCGUGGGGAGCAAACAGG